UUGGGCUCAAGCUAUCCUCCCACCUCAACCUCCUGAGUAGCUGAGACCACAGGCAUGCACCACCAUGGCUGGCUUUUUUGUUUGUUUGUUUUGUUUUUGUGAUAGCUUUGGUCCCAAUAUUUGGGGGAAUUUUAUUUUGAACAUCCAGAGGGGAGAUAAGAUAAUCUACUCUGCAACAAAGUCUAAACUCAGAUAUCUCUAUUUCUGAUUUCCUGAAAACGAAACAAAGGCUGAAGUAAGAAAGACAUUACCAUGGCUAAUACAAACUGCUGUCUUCAGCGUUUGUCUCAAGUUCUUUCAUAAACUGGACUCUCAAGGCCCGGCCGCCACCCCGUCUGGGAAGUGAGGAGCGUCUCUGCCUGGCCGCCCAUCGUCUGGGAAGUGAGGAGACCCUCUGCCUGGAUGCCCAGUCUGGAAAGUGAGGAGCG
rnacentral:lncRNA from 10 species